GAUGAACGCUGGCGGCGUGCCUAAUACAUGCAAGUCGAGCGAACAGAUAAGGAGCUUGCUCCUUUGACGUUAGCGGCGGACGGGUGAGUAACACGUGGGUAACCUACCUAUAAGACUGGGAUAACUUCGGGAAACCGGAGCUAAUACCGGAUAAUAUUUCGAACCGCAUGGUUCGAUAGUGAAAGAUGGUUUUGCUAUCACUUAUAGAUGGACCCGCGCCGUAUUAGCUAGUUGGUAAGGUAACGGCUUACCAAGGCGACGAUACGUAGCCGACCUGAGAGGGUGAUCGCCCCCACUGGAACUGAGACACGGUCCAGACUCCUACGGGAGGCAGCAGUAGGGAAUCUUCCGCAAUGGGCGAAAGCCUGACGGAGCAACGCCGCGUGAGUGAUGAAGGUCUUCGGAUCGUAAAACUCUGUUAUUAGGGAAGAACAUACGUGUAAGUAACUGUGCACGUCUUGACGGUACCUAAUCAGAAAGCCACGGCUAACUACGUG
rnacentral:rRNA from 1 species